rnacentral:misc_RNA from 1 species
GAAAUGCGAUACUUGGUGUGAAUUGCAGAAUCCCGUGAACCAUCGAGUCUUUGAACGCAAGUUGCGCCCGAGGCCUUUGGUCGAGGGCACGUCUGCCUGGGCGUCACGCAUCGCAACCCCCCAAACCCACUCUGGGCGAUAUGGGGAGGAGGAUGGCUUCCCGUGCCUCACCGGGCGCGGUUGGCCUAAAAUUGGAGCCUAAGGCAUCGAGCUGCCGCGGCGAUAGGUGGUGAACAAGGCCUUGGCCGUGCAAACAACCAGCCGCGCAGCCCUUUGACAGUACGAGCUCGAAGGACCCUUUGAUGUUGCCUUGUUGCGACACAAACGUUGCGACCCCAGGUCAGGCGGGGCUACCCGCUGAAUUUAA